UGUAAACAGUAUAAUUCACUUUCUUUUACUCAAUCUGUAACAAGGAGAAAUAAUCAGUGGAUCAACAGGCGACAGCUUCUCCCUCUCUGACACACAGAGUCAUUCACGGGGAGAACCUAGUAGUACAUGUGCUCAUCAG